rnacentral:tRNA from 1 species
CGCCAGGUAUCUCAGUUGGUAGAGCACCUGACUAGAGAUUCAGGGGGCCCGGGUUCAAAUCCCGGUCUGGUCG